AACGAACGCUGGCGGCAGGCCUAACACAUGCAAGUCGAACGCACCGCAAGGUGAGUGGCGCACGGGUGAGUAACACGUGGGAAUGUACCCUUUGGUUCGGAAUAACGUUUGGAAACGAACGCUAAUACCGGAUGAGCCCUGUGGGGGAAAGAUUUAUCGCCAAAGGAGCAGCCCGCGUCUGAUUAGCUAGUUGGUGGGGUAAAGGCCUACCAAGGCGACGAUCAGUAGCUGGUCUGAGAGGAUGAUCAGCCACACUGGGACUGAGACACGGCCCAGACUCCUACGGGAGGCAGCAGUGGGGAAUAUUGGACAAUGGGCGGAAGCCUGAUCCAGCCAUGCCGCGUGAGUGAUGAAGGCCUCGGUUGUAAAGACUCUUUCGUCACGCGACGAUGAUGACGGUAGCGUGAGAAGAAGCCCGGCUAGCUUCGUGCCAGCAGCCGCGGUAAU
rnacentral:rRNA from 1 species